rnacentral:lncRNA from 1 species
GGCAGGCUCAGUGGGUCUCUGUGGGUCUCUAUGGGUCAGAUGUGGGUCGCAGUGGGUCAGAUGUGGGUCUCAGUGGGUCCCUGUGGGUCGCAGUGGGUCAGAUGUGGGGCAGGGCGGGCAGGCUCUGGAUGUGGGUCAGAUGUGGGUCUCAGUGGGUCUCUAUGGGUCGGC